UACGUAGGGCGCAAGCGUUAUCCGGAAUUAUUGGGCGGAAAGAGCUCGUAGGCGGUUUGUCGCGUCUGCCGUGAAAGUCCGGGGCUCAACUCCGGAUCUGCGGUGGGUACGGGCAGACUAGAGUGCAGUAGGGGAGACUGGAAUUCCUGGUGUAGCGGUGAAAUGCGCAGAUAUCAGGAGGAACACCGAUGGCGAAGGCAGGUCUCUGGGCUGUAACUGACGCUGCGGAGCGAAAGCAUGGGGAGCGAACAGG
rnacentral:rRNA from 1 species